rnacentral:rRNA from 1 species
UCUAGCGUUAUUCGGAAUUACUGGGCGUAAAGCGAGCGUAGGCGGAUUUGUAAGUUGGAGGUGAAAUCCCAGAGCUUAACUCUGGAACUGCCUUCAAAACUACAUUUCUUGAGUUUGGUAGAGGAGAGUGGAAUUCCUAGUGUAGAGGUGAAAUUCGUAGAUAUUAGGAGGAACACCAGUGGCGAAGGCGACUCUCUGGGCCAAUACUGACGCUGAGGUUCGAAAGCAUGGGUAGCGAACAGGAUUAGAUACCCCGGUAGUCCAUGCGGUAAACGAUGGGUGCUAGUCGUCGGACUUAUGUUCGGUGUCGUGGCUAACGCGUUAAGCACCCCGCCUGGGGAGUACGGUCGCAAGAUUAAAACUCAAAUAAAUUGACGGGGACCCGCACAAGCAGUGGAGCAUGUGGUUUAAUUCGAAGCAACGCGCAGAACCUUACCAACCAUUGACAUCCUGUGCUAUAUCCAGGGAUGGAUAGUUCCUUUCGGGGACGCAGUGACAGGUGCUGCAUGGCU